rnacentral:rRNA from 1 species
UACGUAGGGCGCAAGCGUUAUCCGGAAUUAUUGGGCGUAAAGAGCUCGUAGGCGGUUUGUCGCGUCUGCCGUGAAAGUCCGGGGCUCAACUCCGGAUCUGCGGUGGGUACGGGCAGACUAGAGUGCAGUAGGGGAGACUGGAAUUCCUGGUGUAGCGGUGAAAUGCGCAGAUAUCAGGAGGAACACCGGUGGCGAAGGCGGGUCUCUGGGCCGUAACUGACGCUGAGGAGCGAAAGCAUGGGGAGCGAACAGG